GUCUCAUCUUGUGAACCUUUGAGAGGGUACAAGUGAUUUAGGAUCUGAAGGACACCUAAUUCAAUGCUACCCAAGAUUCAAUAGCUGCCUGUUGUUGGUACAGAUCUAAAGGUGUGGCGCACAUACUCGGAGAGAUGGAACGUCGUGACGUGCUAUGUACUUCAGCUGUCCAGAACUUGGUCACCUCCCCCUGCCAUCCCUUCUGAGCUGAGGCAUCUUCCCACCCCCUGCCACCCCUUUCCUGAGCCGAGGCAUCUUCCCACACAGAGGCAGGAGCUGUGCAGUAUGCCAAAUCACUGAAAUAAGGAGGAUGGCUGGCUGAGAGCACGCAGGAGCGGCAGCGCUAGCAGCAGAAGAGGAAACCCACAUCUCCCAAGCACCAGACCAGUAGCUCCUCCAGGGACUGCUUGGUUUUGCUCUGGUUGCUGCGUGAUGCUCAACUCUUCUGUCGUGAAGCGGAGCCUGUACUGGUGCCAGUGUAGCUAAUGGAGAAAACCGCAGUGUUUUGGAGGUCUGUACCACCGUGUGCUCUCUGCUUGAGACUGCUUGGAAAGUACUGGAGGUUAGAAAUUCAAGCUCUGUGCAUACAGGUUUUUGCAUUAUAAGAAGAAAAAGUGAAGUGCUUCAAUGUUCAGAGCACCUGAAGGGCAGGUAGUUGCACUGCCUUGAUCGCAGCAACACCAGACCUCUUCAAGAAGUGCAUCAUCACAGAACUCACAUUUAUCUUCCGUGGCUCUCCCUUCUUCCCAGUCCCUGAGAUGAUAACAGAGGAAGAGGAUGUGAUUAGUGUUUCCUGCCACGGGCUGUCAGCUGAGGAAUGAGAACUGUGUGCCAAGAGGAGAAAAGAGCUGCCACAGAUGGACGAAGCCUGUCCUCUUCAAACAUGAAGCACAGCAAGUCCAAGCUGGAUCCUCGUUCUCCUUGGGGAUCAACCUGCCGUGAUGAUGAGAGAAACAGAGCAAGUCCCCAGCCCUCUCCAGAGGUAAACUGCAAAACCACAGGCUUCACCAAAGCCCUUCAAGCCAGCCCAUCUCCCAGGAGAAUCUCUGUCCCUUUUUCUCAAUACAGGGCUGGAAAUAAUGACAGGUUUGCAGGUCUGACGGGUGCGCUGCAUGGUUAAAGAGAGCAGUGCUCAGUACAGGAACGGGGCAUGUGAGGACAUCAGGAGGACAGUGAAAGCCCUGUCCUACAGCCUGAAGUCUCACAGCAAGUGUGCAUUAAUAAGCCAUGCCUACGCUUCCUCCAGGUGUUUACAGUGUGCUUUUCCCCUGUUAGCUUUGAAAACCACAGCUCCAUUUUGACAUAGCAAGUCCUUUGCUUUUAGUGAUGAAUUUGGUACAGCAAGUGCAUUUGGCUGGGAACAUGUGUUGGUAAAACCCUACCUCAUUUUGAGAAGUGAACAGGAUUUCCCUCUAAAAAUGAUCUCUGUCUCCAGAUGAACAGUUUCAGCCUGUCCUCUGGGAAUCUCUCUGCUGCAGAGACGCUGGCUGGCUGGCAUUGAUGCUGGCUGCAGACGGGUGCCACCGAACCCAUGGAAAAUAUAAAGGUGACAACAUCAGCCCAGCCAUCAAGGUCACCUCUCCUCUGAGCGGGUUGUCCCAGGGGAAUGGGGGCAGGUAGGGAUUCCUGGGUGCUUGGAAAGGGACCUUUGGAGGCUUUCCAGCAUGCAGGGACCCCCAAAAAACCGUGAAAGGUGGCUGGUUGCUUACCCUCUCCUGGGGCAGAGCUUCUUGUGCCACGCUGGUUCUUUGGCAAACGAGCUGAAACUGGCAUAACUGCAAAAUGGGGCCAACCGACAACCGGGAUGAGCCUGGCUUGUGAGUCAAGAUGGGCUGGAAAAGUAAACAAAAAAGCAUUUUCAGCCCAGAGAAACAAUGGGGAAAUGAACUGGAAGCUGGGACCUCUGAAUUCCUCCACCCUUCCCCAAAGAGAGCAGUGGGGUGUAGAGGGCAGUACCCAAAAUCCAGCAUUCCUUGUAACUCAGUUGUACCCUCUGAGAAACAUCUUUUUGCCGUUCCAUGUGCAGCUCCUGCUGGAGUGACUUCCUCCUCUUUAGCUGGAGCCAGAGACAAAGGAAAGAAUUGUUGGUAAUGAGCUGUCUAUGAAGAAAUUCAUCUUGAUAUUUGCAUCACUAGUACAAGACAAGGCAGCACCACAACUUUCCUGCGGUGGUUAAGGACAGCACUCGGAGGAGGCUGGGGGCCUCCAGGUCCUGCAAAUGGUUAGAGAGUGUUUCAGCAUUGCUCAUUUGCAAGAGAAGAACCCAAUUUGCAUUGCUGGAAAAAACAGCCAUGCAGAAAACCACAAGAACCUGUAGUUCUGGUCAGGCCUUUGGAUUUUGACAGGGUUUUUUGAAUACUCCUUCGCAAUUAAAAUUCCCACUGGGUUGUCUUGCUGUUUUCAAGGCCAGUUGGGACUGGGAAGGUGCAGGUAAGCUGGCAAGCGGGAUUGCCCCGAAGCAUCGAACUAUGUUCCAUUAGCCCACCUCAGCUGCAGGAACAUGGUUAGCUGGCAGCACUUCACCCCCCUGGUAAAUUAGAUACCACACAGUGGCUUAGUCACACCAGAGAAGUUAAUGGCUCACAACUUGCUGAGACAAAUUCCUCCCAGCUUUAAUUAGCCAUGAGAUGCUGGAGUGCCUAAAGCUCUCUCCCUGCCCCUGCCCUUGUUUACUCUCAGUGCAUCAAUCCAGUCUGGACUCGGGUCUCCAAGUAUUUGUAGUGAGCAAAUAAUGCUAAGUUUUGCCAUUGUAGCUUUCUGCAAUCAGCUGGAAAACACAGAUUCGUAGCCUCAGUCUUUACAAAAACACGAGGAUGGAUACCUGGGUCCCCGAACUUCAGCGAGAGAGCCAGAGCUGCUCAUCCAGGUUCUGCUCCGCUGUGUGCUGGCUCAGUGUCACCCCCAAAAAGAAAUGACAGGAGAGGCUGCCGGCACCCUGAGGAUGGAACAGGGACCACGUAGCAGGAGCUGCUAAUAUAAAUGAAGGGGACCUUAAUGCUUAAGACUUGAUCCUGCCUUUACUGUGUGGUUUUCAUACCGCGUCUUGUAAAAUCAGUUGCAGGUCAUGUGUGCUCAUGUAUGGUGCUUGGUUUUGCCAGCGUGUCUGUGACAAACAGAGCUGGCUUGUUGGGAGGCUGAUGUGAUUUUGACUACCUGAAUAGUGACCCCUGGGUGUCCCUGCACAAGCUGGGUACAGGAGUCGAUCAGUCCUUCGGAGGGAGGCCCAAAGCCAGCACAGGCUGGAGGGCAUCUGGUAAGGCUGGGGCUGAUUUUGUUUUACGGUGAGUUUGAGAUGAGAUGUUUUCGUCCUGGAUGGCUUGGGCAGAUCUGUUUGGCAAUUGAGCGUCUCUACUCAGUUUGUGAUGUUUGAGAAAACUCUCCCCUUUCCACAUCUCCUCCCCUCCCAUCAAUAUUUCUCUUAUUGAUGUGAUGACAGCCAAGGAACUGAGGUGUUUUCAAAUGAGCCUACAUAAUUCUGAUGGUGGCAUGAAGGUUCCCAGUCCAGCCAGUUCACACUUGCCAGUGCUAGACUUGGCACUUCUUAUCUGACAGCAGAUACACUGGAAAUCUUAAAAACAAUCUGCAUUUUAACCUUGAUUGUGCUAAAUAGCCUUCAGGAUGCAGUGGUGCAUGUUGCUGGUUGCAAAGAGCGCUGUUGGCUGUCGUUAAUUAUGUUUAAUUUGCACUAACAAAGCACACAAAAUCCAUGUCCUAUAAACUGUGCUAAAGGUAAGUGUGGCUUUUCUAUAAAGAUGUACAAUUUAAUUUAAAGAUCUGAGGUCUGCUGACCCUCCAGCUUGUUGCACAACAUUUCAUACAUAUAAAAAUGGAUGCGAGAGGCAGUCUGGUUGGGUUUACCUGUUCAUACCGGCAGCAGAGAGCUCCAGCUGCUCUGCGGGGAUGGAUGGGUUUGAACACGCAUGGCACUAAGGCAUGUGCUUAAAAACUUCCAGCUCAUAAAUACUCAUUCUGUGUUCCAGAGGCACUCAUCUGAACCUGACCGCAAUGAGCCGGAUGCCAGAUAAGGGUUACAGCGCUCAUCUUCGUGUUGGCCCUAACAGCUGUGGCGUCGGUUGCCAGAAGCGCUGGGUGGCACGCAGCAGCCGUGGCAGCAGCUGCAGAGCCCUUGCCGGUGGCAGCACUGCCAUGGCACUGGCAAAAUGGCCCCGGUAAUAGCAAGGGGACAACUUGACUGUGUAGCAGGGGAGGGGAGGGGAAGAACCUGUUUGGCUCCAACAAAUGAUGCUGUUCUCCUCCAGCUAAAAUGGAGCUUGAACUAAUACUUUAUUCCUCCCACCCAGGCUCAGAAAAUGGGAGCCUCGGUUGCUGGGAUGUUUUCCUUUGCCAAGCCUCUGCGCGGCUGCAUUUUAGUGAAAAGCCCAGCCCCUGAGACAUCUGUGUCAAGGACCUGAUGCUUGGCUGAGCACAUAUAUUUAAGCCAACACAAGCAAGUGAAGGGGGGGAGGAAUCCCACAACAUGUUCUUGUGGAUUUCUGACUAUGUUACAGCAGUGUGAAGGAAAGAGGGGCAGGAGCAAGAGGAGAGGACAAGAAGGUGACCCUGCUGGCAGGAAAGCAAAGGCCUGACCCUGUUAACACGGUUCAUCGUGGUGAUGUGCUCUGUCAGACCCUCCAGCCAGCAUUAGGUCCAGCACCUUUGUGGAUGGUGCUGCCCGGGUCCUCUUGCCCAGACAGGCGCUGUGUGACAAGUAAGCUUUGCUGGCCACAUGUCGCACCUUAGAAAGGCAUUUGCUGGUUUUGGCACUGGUUGUGAUGCUCAGGAAUUGAGAAGGUUUUCUCUUCUGCAGUUGUCAGAGUGGCUGAAAGGCAGAAGUUCUGUAGUACCUGGCAUUUUGUCUCCCGUCUGUCUCCGGGCUGGAAGACUGAGAAGCCAAAAAGGGAGUAGAGGAUUGCCUUUACCCCUUCUCCCAGCAUGGGUUAGGAGAAGCAAAAGGAUAAAUCAGGGGGCAUUUCAGCACUUACCUCCUGUUUUUACAGAAAUCACUAUACAUUGCAAGUGCCUUUGCACAUUUUAUAGCACUUUAAAAAGCCAAUGUAGCUAAUCUGGAAGUUGGCUUGUUCAGAGAAGCACAAAACAUGUUCAGCCAUAAAAAUCCCUCAUUUGAUGCCAAGUUAUUACAUUUUCAAGUGUCUGAAAGGCAAUCACUAUUAUGCAUCCAAAGAGUUCAGAUGACUCCCCCCAGCUCCUUGUGGUUGGUGAGAACAAAAACACCAGCGCAGCAUCUUGCAAAGUGGUGUUGUGUUGUUGCCAUAUGGUACAGAUGUUUCGGUAGCAAAGGCAGCCUCCAUCUACGGCCUCACCUUCGGAAGAGGAGCAGUGUGCUUUUGUACAGUUGGAAAAAACACAUAGCCUAAUUGAAAAGGACAGAGAUAAGCACAACAAUGCCAAAAGGUCAGAGAAGUCAUGGUCCUGGAGCAACUGGCAUACCUCUAACGAGGAAAUGUGGUUCAUGGGGGUUUUGUGUUGCAGAACUGUUGUCCCAAAUCCCUGCGAACUAGUGAGGGGUUGGGUAUUCAUAGGGUUUCACUCUUCUUUCUGGUUUAUUCCUACAAAAUGUGUGGGACUUUGUUACUUUUGGAAAAGCUGCUUCUCUGCCUAGUUUGACCAGGAUGUUCAGAAUUUAUCGGUGGUACCCGUAAGACAUGUGUACACGCGUGCACAAAUACUCAGUGUGGUCACAUAAACCCUCUUCCCAUAGGAAACCAGGAUAAAAAUGUGGCCUCUCCAAGUGCCUGACUCAAUGCUCAGUCUUUAAUGGCCAUUCCCGUGUCCCUGUCCUUUCUUCACUUGGGCAUUUGAUGUGUUUGAUUGCUGGAGGGAUGAGGGAGGAAGAUAAGUGUUGGUGUUAAUAAUGGUAAGGGAUGCUGGUUGUCUCCAAAGCUCUUGCUCUGCCCGGAUUCAGGUGAUGACUGGGUUACCUUGUCCCCUCUUCUGCUGCAAAGAACAGCUUGGUCAAGCCUAAGUAUGUCAUCCUCUUCAAAAAAGGUCCCAGCGAUGGGAAGAAAGCCAUCUUCAAACAGGGAAGGGGGUCAGACGUGCUGAGUGUGCAGGUCCAGCCAAGGGUGCAGCCAAGAGCUGGCCCACGUGCUGGUGGCAGCCUGUUCAGCUGGUGCAGAGGACAGCCGUGACCUGGCAGUAGCAGCUGGUGCAUUUACCGACUGUAGCCUACUUAACGGGAAGGCUGAAAUCUGUUGCAGGAGCAAGAAGCCAGGAACAUUGGAUGCUGGUGGAAGAAGGAGCAUGAUUCAGCCACCUGAAGGCAUCUCCCUGUAGGAGAAUUACCUUCUCUAUAAAGCAGCAGGCAUUGCUCUUAAGUGUUAUCAAGCUUAAAUCGGUUCCCUAGGUGACAUCCUGGUAAGUGGAUUUCCCAAUUAAGCACAUCGCGAUUAAGUGGGAUGUACUGUAAUUACAGUGCUCAGUGCUAGGAGCAAAUCAGAUCCGUUUGCAGCAGAAGGGCCAGAUCGAAGCUCUUCCCCAGUCUGGAGUGGGUUGUACCAAAGCAUUUCUGUAAGUGUGAAGGUGGGCAGGCAGGAGAUAGGAUUUUGCAGCCACCCCCGUCAUGCCAGUCAGCAUGUUCCCUACAGAAGGAAGAUGCUGGAGAAGCCCUGGUGCCACGUCUUUAAACCCUCUGAUACAGGAGCAAAUUCCUUUUGAGGAUGCGCUCCUCUGUCUCCUGCUAGUCCACAACCCGCUGGAUGAAGCCUUUGCUCCUGCUAGAGAAAAUAUCCCUUAGCAGAGGUGGCUGUGUGGAUGCUGCGCAGGGAAACAGUAGCUCUUUCCAUGGAGACAGAGGCUGUCAGAUGGUGCUGCCACCUGCCAGGCAGACAUCACAGCCCUUCAGAGCCAAAUCUCCUUCGCCAGCCCAAGAGAGGUGGUUUUCCUUGCAUGGCUCCUUCUCCCCAUCCCUCUGGCUUCCUCUACAAAGGUGCGUGUGUGUCCCCAGCACAAAACCUCAUGGUCCUGGAGUCAGACUGGGGCUACAUAAGCCCAUUCCUCUAAUAUUUUGUGGUUCCCAACUUCUGUUGGGACAUCAUGGGGGAAAAGAAAGAAGAUGCUCCUUUGUUCAUUGUUUGUUAGCUAAAGGAAGAAGAACCGAGUGUUUACUGCCUUGGAUUGCUCGGAGUAUUUUUAGGUGGAUGAGAUGAAGUUUGAUUAGAGACCUUCUGGGAAUGAACUGGUCAAGGUAACACUGAAAUGCUGGAGAUGGGACCUAAAGUGUAGAUGCAGUGCAAAGGGAGGUGAAAUCUGUGCCAGGAGGAGUGUGUGGUGCAGGAACAUGGCCACUUUGGAACUGGAGGAGGACACUAGACCUGAACAUGGACGCUCAGACCAGGCCAGCCUCCAGAUUAGAGCCUGUUUUACUACUCACCAUGUUUACGCAGCUGUCCCAGGAUCCUUAAUUCCCCCCUGGCUAGGCAGUGACAUAAGUGUGAUGCAGCAUGCUUUCCCUCCAGGCUCUCGGUCCCCUAGGUCAUGCUGGCUGGUGCACGUCUUUGGUGGCUGGGGGGCUUCUAGGGGUCUUGUGCCUACAAGCCAGAUGACCAAAAAGCUCUUACACCUACCACACCUGUGUUCUUCGCCAGGGUUAAAGGGUGGGGGGCAGAAGCCUAUCUAGCUCCCAGAGGGGAGACCUUAUAUUUUGGGGUGACAUAUUACAUGAUUUUUGGCUGCAGAAGGAAUCUUACAGUAGGAUAACAGGGGAAGCCGAUGACUGCUCCUACCUUUGAGAUGGUUAAUUGGCUCUGUCCCAUGUGGACAUGGAUUGAUUCGAACUCCCACUUGCUGGGCUGACCCCCAGCGCCCACAGAAGGCACAGUGCAGCUAGCCUACACCACCGCGGCCCCUCAAACCCCUUGCUGAUGCCUUCUCACCUCCCACUGUGGCUGUCCCUCUCCCAGCUCAGCAGCAUCCCUCCUCCCUCCAGCCAGGCUGUGGCAUCCCCGCAAUGCUCGUAUCCAUCCCUCCAGCUGUGCAGCCAGAGGUGCGCAGCAGCCCGUGUGCAGUGGCUCUGCUGCUGUUCCACCCCGAAUCCUUGCUCUGCUGCUUCUUCCAUACUGCUGGUUUUGCAGUGCCACCCACUGGCAGAGGCUCCCCAGAAAACCUCCUUUGCAGCUUUUCUCUGCCACAGGUGAUGCUCCAAAGAUGAAAUAUUAGAAGGAUGGCUCUGCUGGGUGUAAUUCACGGAGCACGUCACAUGGGUGCUGGUGCAGGACAUCUGGAAACCUUCUGGCAUCCUUUUCAGCAUAUCUCAGUGUAUGCUGAGCCCAAGCUGCAGGGUCACUGGGUUGGCAGAGUCCCGGGUGUCAGCUCAGAGUGCGAUGAAGGCAACUCACCGGCUUGCUCCUAUGGGCCCUCCAGCCCUGCGUCCUGCCUGCAGCAGGCCAGAUUGGUUUAUGUAGGUUCUGUGGUCGUGCUUUCCCAUGCAGGAUGAAAUACAAAAUUCUGCCUGAUAUCAAACCCCAUGUACAACCAUUCCGGUUGGGAGCAUGCUCCCAGGGAUGCAGGCCGGGGGACUUGUGUGUGAGAGGAAGCUUUGUGAUCACUUUAUGGAACCGUCAGCCUGGUCUACCUGAAUUUGCCUUGUGCCUUCUAACCACAUUUAUACUCUUGCCUCUGUCUCCAGUUUAAUGGCCAGUGUGAGCCCAGCUGAGAUGCAGGAGGAGAGAUGGCGAAGAAGACCGCGAUGCACUUCUCGGAGUUGGUUCGCAGAGAGCUGGCGUGCACAGGAGACGGCUGCCGGGCUGGUGCCCUGUCGAGGCAGCCCAGCUCAGCUCACUGCCUGGAUGCAACCGCCGUGUCAAUGCAGCAGCAGCACAGAUGGACUGCCAGGAGCUUUCUCCCCGGCCUCCUAAUAGGCAGCGCUGGGAGCUGCUCCUCUUGCAAAUUUGUCUUGAUUGAAGAGGAAGAGAAUGAUUAGGCUGAAGGGGACUGAUGGGGGUGGCAGGCGAAAACAUGGAGGUAAGUCUCUAUUUGUCUUCUGGUUUGUUGGGUUUUUUUCGUUCUUCCUCUCUCCCAAACAGUGUCCAGGUGGGUGGAGGGAGCAGCACUCCAGCUCCGCACGCCCUGGGCUGGCUCUGCCUGAGCUGCUUAGGGGGUGUUCAGCUGCAAAGGAGCAGCUCUGCUCUGGUCCUGCCUCAGAGCAUCACCCAGUGCUUCGUGCAGCUGACCCUCUUCUGGAAAGCUCUCUGGGCUGGGUGGCACCAGGGUCACCCAUCCCUUUACAGAGCUGGCAAAGAGGUUAACCCCUGACCUGGGCUAUACCCCUAGCUCCCUAUAGGGGCUAUACCCCUAUAACCUCUAUUAACCCCAGGAGUGAACAGCUCUUUCCCUUAUUUUAAUUAUAAAGGGACCGUUGAUAGCUUGUUCAGUCCAAGUUUUACUGUGUUAUUUACUUUAAAGCCAUGGUUUUGAUGAAGUUGUCUUAAUAUAUUUUGAGUUCAGGGCUAAGCCCUGCAUCAGCAUGAGCAGUUACUGCAGUGUAGCUGACAGCAUUACAGAACCACGCUCCCUUCCCUUCCUAAGACUUUGUCCCUUUCAGACCUGUGAGCACCAAAGGCAUCCUGGCUCUGGCUGCCCUAGAUGGGGUCCUCCUUGGAGCAGUUUGUCUUGAAGUAUGUGGGGAAGUCACCGUGGUGUGAGCUCGGAUGCCACCUCCAAACCCAGCCAGCUGCUCCACAGUGCAGGGCCAAGGAACCAGUCCAAAAUUCGACCGAGAGCCUCUUGCCCCGAAGUCCAGGCCAUUAAUAGUCAGGUAAAGCAAUUUAGCUCAAGUUAUGGCAGGAUAAAGCAUCUCUUUUUUUCCUGGUGUGAAGGACAGCUAAAUAAAUGGUCUGUAUUCAAGCCACUGUAAAAACUCCAGUUCAGAGCUUCUGGGCAGCCAUCCGCACUCAAGGAAGCUGCUGGACCAGCCUGCAAAUGGAUCCUCUUGUCUGGGUCCAGUCCUGCAACUGCUAUACCCAGUGGCCAAUCUCCCUGUUUGGGAAGAUGGGGAAGCAGGCCCAGUGCCUUACAUUUGGUGCUCAUUAAUAUUUGGACGAGAUAAGCGGUGUGCUUAAUCUAGUGCAGCAAUUGUGUUUGUUAUAGAGCAAUAACUCCGCAGGGUUACCAUGAAAUUCGACGUGGCUUAUGAAAAAUGCAGGCUGUUGCGGAGGCUGGGCUGCAAACCGCUGGCAGGAAAAAACCCUGUUGCGUCAAGGUGAAACGCAUGUUUGAAUGAAAAGCCUGAUAUGACCGAAGGAGGGACAUACAAUGGUGCUUUACCUGCCAACUCAGGUGAGACACGGUGCCUGGCCAUCGCUGUGUGCUGUGGCCGAGCCCCUUCCUGGUGGCAGGGUGGGAGAUGCUUUGCCUGGCCAGGCUCUGGCUGCUGCAGUGGCACUCAGCCACCCUAAAUCCUCUCUGGCUUUUCAGAGGGGAAGCUGCUUGCUGAAGGGAGCAGGGUAGGUGAAGGAGGAAAAAACAAAUAAUUUCCUUCCAGCUUCUGCUGGCAGCGGGGGCGGUUACUAUGUGAGCAAGGCUUGCAGCACUGGUUCAUUCAGCGGUAGUGUCUGUGUACCUGGACCCCCAUGCACGGCAGGCUUGGUGCCCUUGAGGUCAGCUUGAAAACCCGCUUGAGCCCAUGGAUGGUCCCUAAGCUUUGCAUCCAGCCCUAAAUACCCUACAAAACACUUGCAAAAUGUCUGGCGCAGCCAGAUCUGGCAGCUUUGCAGCUGUGAGCAGCCAGCUGCUAGAGGAGCAGCUAGAUGUUGUGGGGACAAUGACACCCCAAGUCCAUACAGGCAGGUGGGAUCAAACUGGCCCUGGGGGGUGAUGGGUCAUUCGAGUGGUGCCAGAUGCUCUUCUGAGCAGCGUGUGCGGCUCGCAGCAGUCACACCAGGUUGCCUGCAAACAUGCAGCACUUGAAGAGCAGGAUCACACCCCAGGCUAGUUUUUCCUUCAGAAGGUGGAAAGGAAGAGAGUGCACUUUUUCCUCCAAACCAGAAGUAAAGCUGGAUUCCCUUUCCUCCCCAAAGCAUCCAGGUUCGGUCCUGACCCUACUCUGCAUUACCAAGGCAGCAGCACCACCUCACUGCUCCCUCCCAUUAUCCCUAUUUAAACCACCCUGAAUCCCAGUCACAGUCAGGCUGGCCAGUGGGUUCAGCUGAUUGUGCUCUGGAACAGCACAAUAAAACCUCCAGAAAAUUAUUUUUUAUUUCCACGUGCUCCCCCACAGCUGCCUGCAAGCCCUGUGCCAUGCUUGGCUGUGAGAGGUUCCCAGGGGCUCACAGGGUUGGGCUGCACAGGGGGGGCAAAGCGAGGUCCUUAAGUCCCCCGGUGCCAAAAGGCACCUUCAUGGCCUGGCCAGGCUGCUCAUCUCUCCGGGUUAUGCACUGGUGUGACUCAACAGCAGAUGACAGGGGUUAGGAAAAGGCCUGGGAUGGCUGGGAUGUCGUUGCCAUGGAAAUCAUGCAGUGUCUGGAAUAGCAAGAACAAGAGCAACUCAAAAAGUAAUGAUCUGCCACAUUGAUUAAGGGGGAGUCGGAGGGAUUUUGUUUGGGGAAAGCCUCGUGCUUCAAGUAAUAUGAAUCCAUAUGCCACGGCUCGCUGUUCGCCUCCCCCUGAAGGGCUCUGUCAACAGGAAAUAAUCUGAUUUGUUUUGACCAGGGGUUUCUCCGGGGAGUACCGACGCAGUGCCUGCCCAUCAGCUGUGCUGCACAGCUCUGCCAUCGCAGGAUGAAAGGCACCAAGUCAAUGCAAUAUUCAUUCACUUCCUCUUCCCUCCUUCAUUCAUUUCUUCAUCCAUUCAUCUGCUUCAUUCACAUUUCCCCAGCGCUUUAAUGAGCAGUGCUUAGCCUCUGUAGUCCUGCAGAGCCUUCCCCUGGUACGCUCGUUGCUGCAGAUGGCUGUCUUCAGGCUUAUUUAUUUUUCAGGGCAAAGCUCGGCGUGGCUGGAGCGGGGUCGUGUUGUACCCAGCUGGCACUUGGAUCUGCACACCCUGCACAAAUCCACCCAGGUAUUGCUAUUCCAGCUUUCACGUCUCGAUUUCUCUUUGUUGUGAUUCCCAUCUCAUCCAGGUCCUGUCCUCUUCACGGGGGAGCCCGUCACGGUGCCGUGCCCGUGCCCAUCGCAGCUGUCCCGGGGGCAGAGGGAGCCAAGCGUGAAAUGGGCAUCCCUGGAGGGCUGGUGCCAGCCGCUUGCUGCGGAGCCAGAGCCACAAGCAUAAACCUCCUCGGGGCUGUGUCACCGUCACCUGUCCCCACCGUGCCGGUGCCCUUUGCGGUGCUUGAGGAGUGCGGGGAAUCCCAAACAAACCUGCCACAGGCAAUAACAUUCAUUGAUGAGGCACUGCCAAACCCCACCAGUUGUCCAUGCACACAUGGGGUCACGUCAUCCCUUGCACAGCCCUGCGACUGCCGCCUUGCUUGGUGCAGCGUUUCUUCCAAAGCUUUGUCCUGCAGCAGGAGCCGUGUGGGGUUUGCAAUCCGGAUGCUCAGGUAACUCGGUGUCUGAGUGGAUCAUUAGAGUCCAGAAUGACUUGGGAGACACGUGGAAGCCAACAUCUACCUGCCAGCUGCAGAUGGGGUCCAUCCACUUCAAAGCAGUAACAUCUCAGGUCCAGACAGGCACCCAGGAGUGGCAUCCUGGCAGGUGACUCCAUCAGAUGGUAAAAGGCCUCCAGAUCCUCUGACAGCAAGGAGAAGGCAUUUUUCCAACCAAAACAUCUUCAGCUGCUUUAUGAGUCCAGUAGCUGUAGGAUUUGGCUAUCAGAUACCCAUCCUCAAGUCUAAGGGAAUUUUUUUUCCCCAGGUGAGUUUGUGUUAAAACAAUGGGGGAUCAACGAGGGUUGUGGCAAGAGCUGGGCGGCACUUUUUAGGUGGCACAGCUUUUCCUCCUGCCUGAAAGUUCAUCUCUCUGGGUUUCUGUUGACCAGCGGAUCCCUCCACAGAUACCUGAGUGUCCAACAAACCAUUUCUGCAGGAACAUCUUUGCUCCCAAGUUACCUUGGCCUCUCACUUGUAGUUAUCCUGGUCAUCCCUGUGCAUGGGGCACUUGCACAUGCCUGGCUGGAAGAUGAUGGUGUGAGUGUGCUUGCAGAGGUGGUUCUGGAGACGGUUGGGUGCAAUCCUGUCAGCCCUGCCAGUAUCUGCAACUUGCAACAUUAAUGCUUGCGUGUUUACACGGCCGUAGGAGGGGUCCUGUAACGAGACCCUUCACACGUGCUCCUUCCCACCAUAGCUGCUUCUAUCUAUGAUUUCUAUCUCCAGGUUUCGAUCCAUUGGCUAUGUCAAGUAAGUCCAAUUUAUUUAUUUUCUUUUCAUAAGCUCCCCACAGCCAACCGUGACAGCCAAGGGAAAACUGCUCAGCCUUUCAGCAUUAAAGUCUCAAUUAUCAGAGCACUGACAUCUUCCAUAUGAGGGCUGCACAUGUGCGUGUUGGUACUCCUCAAAGUAUUUCGGGAGCUGAAGCGUAAGCAGGGACUCAGUUUGACAUUGUGUUGGGAGCACUGAUAAAAAUUCUGGGAGGGAAAGGCCAACCUCAAUUUGUGUCUGUCAUCUUGUUUAGGACGGGAUAGUCAAUAGCAAAUAUGUAGUAGAGCUAAGUUUUUCCAUUAAAUGCUAAUGACCCCUUUGCAUCUUGCUGUGGUGCUUGUAUUACAGGGGAUUGUGUGCAUCCUGCAGCUGGCUGAGGCACUGAGACACGAGCAGUAGGCGUCCUGCUCCACAUGCUCCGGUGUUGACUAAGGGAAGCUGGGAUGGCUGAUGCGAGGAAGCAGGUGGGAAAUUUGGGGUUCUGGCUGCCCACACAGCUCCAGGAUGACUGAAUGUUGGCAGGAGCUAUCCUAGAGCAUCCCAUGGAGAUCAGAUGGGGGAAGAUAGUUUCCUCACCACUCAGAGGACUGGGAAUUGUUGGCUUUUUUCAUGACCACCCUUCCCUUACAAAGCAGAUGCCGCACUACCACCAGGCUGAGCUGUUGGCUGAAACACAGCCUUAUGCGAAAUCAGACUAAAACAAAACUUCUACAAGCUGUUAGGUGGUUCCCUGAGCCCUCUUGAAAGCAUUCACAGGUGGGGAUGAAAUUAUCCCAUUCUGUAUGUAUGUGUCAUGGACAUCCCUGGCUUCAGGCUGACCGUGUGCCUCCACCACUCCAUUUUUUCCAACAGUGGGGAUGUGAGAAGCCUCAAGAGGGGCAGAAAGGCUUUGCCUGGGCAGCAGUAGGAGCCCUGGAGACCUGAGGCAAAUAAUCCCUGCCUGGAGCUGGUCCCUUUGGCUCCAGGCACUGCUGAGUUUGCUAGUGGAGAAAACCACUGCGUUGGAUCAAACCACUGUUAAAGAAGACUUCACAAAAGUGAAUAGCUAGUGGUCAAGAAGAGCUGCCAGACUCCUGCUUUCUCAGUAACUAAUAAAAGUGCUUUUUAACACAAUUAAUGUGAUGCCUUGCUAAAGACUGAAGGAAACUGGAAUUGAGACAUUUGUAUUUUGACAGACUCAGUGGAAAACUUCUGUUCAGACCGGUAGGAAUGAAACCAAUAAAUUUCUGAAGAAACUUUCUGAAUUCAGCCUUCAAGAUAAUAGAUAGGCUGUUCUGACUGCGGAUAAAUAAACUCUGUUUUUAUAAGUGUUUAAAGACCUUCGGGAUGACGAAGUGGAACAUACUUCAAGUCUCCAAAGAUGGGAAGUGGCUUCUGAGUCAAAUGCCCUCCCGUGCCAGGGCUCAUAUUUUAGACUGCGAUCACUCUUUUGUGACUUGUUGACAGGUUUUUUGUUGUACUUUGAAGAAAAAAAGGGAAAACGUCCCAGGCUGAAAAUAGCAGUGAAACAUUCCCCAACUGGCCAACCUGUUCUUCAAGAAAACUUCCCAGGGAACAUAAAGCCCCAGCAGCAGCCCCGAAAAUACCAGCUAAGAAACGGCAGGUCAAGUGAUAAUUGGGGUGAAAAACACUACUUCGAGUGACAACAGCCCCUGCCUGAGCGUUGCUAAUCCUUCCUCUUGUGGUGAAGGUGAUGACCUGAGGAAGGAAGGUUUGGUUCCCACCAGGAAAUGCUUAUAGGGUGGACUCUCAAGACGGGAAAGGUGGGAGCAACUCACUCCUGUUUUGCCUCCCUCUCUUGUGAGGAACAUCCCUACUUGCGGUUCCUACCCUCCUUGGCAGUGGCUGCAGUCAUCCCAGAGGCAGAUGGUGAAAAGGCUGGACCACAGCUCAUGGCCAUCUGGAAAAGAAGGGCAGGUCUCUGCAUCUGUGCAAGCCUGGGGCUUAAUUCUGCCAACAAAACCAAAAGUGAUGCAACCCAGAACCAUGUGCGGCGAGCAACACUGAAGCAUUAGCACUAAGCUUUGCUUGCUUUGUUCUCCUGCGUAUCUACUGCCUGAUGUGGACUGUUGGGUGCAUUGGACAGAGGCCAGCAGGAUGUGCUUUAUUUGAACUGAAUAUAAAGUCAUGUUUCUGGAGGGAAAAAAAGAUGAGUCACAUAUACAGGGUGAAGCCCAAACCAGGCUGAUGGGCUCUGAAUGGAUGUAGGUGCCUGCAGUGGCAUGUGGCCAAAGGAUAGUCCUGGCACAGGGGCGGCAGCGAUGUGCCUUGAGGUCAAGCAUCAGUGCGACGGCCAAGUCACUGAGGCUUAGAAAAGAGGCACCAGAACAUUCCAAGGGCUGGCUCAAGGAGCUCCAUCUCUCUGGUUUCUCGAAAAGAAAAGGAAGGGAGAGCGGAUCAGAGCCUGUGAUGUACAAAGGCGACAGAAAUGGGGGAGUAAUGGGAGGCAAAGCCCUGCAAGAUAGCUGGAAAUGGGCACCCAAGGAAUCCAGCCUGUGAGAAAGGCUCCAUUAUUUAAAAGUCAAUUUUAAAUUGACUUUUUAUUAAUCAUGGAAGUAACUUAGCAAGGCUUGUGCUGAUCCUCUGCUGCUGAGAAUGUUUUGAUCAAGACUUGAUUCGCAAAGCAGAUGCUCUCAUUCGUGUGGCAAUAAAUUCAGGUCUGAGCUACCCCAGGGAGGAGCCUGGAUGGCUGCAGCAACCCACCCUGCCAUCGCAACUGGAUUAGGGAAAGGCAGGUUGUCCUUGCCAAGGAGCCAAGGGGGAGCAGCGAAGGGUCUGGAGGAGGUGCUGAGGCUCUGACUAGUGUGCGGAAGAUUGCCCAGGAGCAUGAAGACGCAGCAGCAUCCCUCCAACUCGGCACGUGGGCCGCCCUGUGCCUCUGCUGCUGCCUCAGCAGCACCUCUCGGGCUCUGGCUGCUGGUGGGAGGGCAGAGGGGGUCUUUUUCCUAGCAGGGGGGGGAAAAGAAGUCUGCUUGCAAUUAAGCAGCUCACACUCUGCCUGGCUGUGGGAAACGUGUGCUCCUGCCACCAGAGACACCACAGUUGCUACAGCAACUGCAAAGCACUGAGACGCACCAACACCCUCCCUCUGCCACCCUCCACCCCCCCCCCCCCACCCACCCCCAAUCAGGCGGAGCAGGGAAGGUGAUGAUGAGGAGACAACCAGCUCGUUGGGAUGACCCUCGGCAGUCAGGGACAGGGCUGCCACUUGCUCUGCUCCUGUCCUGCCAUGGCCGGUGCCCCAGCACCGCUGCACUCCCAUCGGUCCUGCUGAGUGCUUGGACUCCAGGUGGGAGCUGUCAGGGUGGGGAUGUGAUGCUGGGGAUGCUGUGGGGACCACCGCACCCCACAGAGCAGGGGGCAGUGGCAGGCUCAAACCGAGCUGUGCCUGCAAGCACCUGCCAUCUCAUUACUAUUUAAGUCUGUGGUUCCCAGCACUGUGCCAUCCUGCCUUGGUAAAAGCACAUGGUUUCCCCUGGUGCUCCUCUCUUAAAUAUUUAAUGGUAGGAGGAAGAGCUGCUUUAAGAAACAGUUCAGUGCUUCCAUCCAAACAGAAGGUUGAUUCAGGUGGCCGGAGCAGACACGAAAAACCUUGAGCUUCAAUUUUUCAGGAUCCUUCUGCUAUUGAAGCAGUGGCAGCGUGAUGAUGCAGGGGAGAGGGGAAGGAAAGGUGUUUCAGAUGCCGGGACAAAGUAAGGACUCCCGGGGCUCUGUUCUGCAUCCUCUUCCUGACUCUGUGCCACUGUGGCUUGAUUUCUCACACUAAAAAAAACCUCAAAGAGGCUUCAGGUUUGGAGCUUUAGUGGAAAAUGCUUGAAGAUCACCUACCCCCAGAUCUUAGCCAGCCAUUCUGUCCUCCCCACCACCUCUGGAUGCAUCAGGUUUGCCAAGUGCCAAGGGUACAACACAGAUAUAAAGGCAUCCACCUGCCAGAGACUUCCUAAGGAUUUGUUGGAGUUCACAAAGUGGUUUGAAAAGCCUGGAUCAAAUCACUGUGGAAGGAAAUGUGUUUUAAUGCCAGCCAAAUCAUAAAUCAGGCCAUCCUUAAUACAAAUGACUGCUUGAGAUGAGGGUGAUCAGGGAGAGAGCUGUGCUGCUUCGUUCAGCAGUCCCAUGUCCCAAUGCACCCACUCCUAUGGGGACCAGCUCAGUUAUUGACAGUAUUCAGAGCAAACCUGUGUCUACCCAGAUGCCCUGCACCUGUGCAUCAGGGGGUAGGAUGCCAGCAGGGCUAAUGGACGUGUUGCUACAGCCCAUGUUAUCUUACCUUCCUAUUAAAGCCCAUUUCCCUGCAGGGCGGCUGGUGGCAGGCUGAAAUCUGUGGCCUUAAGCACCAUUUCCAGAACAGGCUGGGCACAAGCACUAUUUAAACCAGUAAAAUGUCCCAGGCACGAUAUACAUGGUGGUCUGCACCAGGCUGGGGCUCAGAGAAACAAAGCCAAAAAACAUAUACAAAGUGGUGUUAAAAUGCAAGUUUUCUUAGUGGAAACUGUGAACUCCGCAACAAAGCUGUUUGCCAAUCCCAGCCCCUUGCCAUGCAGCUGUAGUGCAAUUAGGUUUUCAUUUGAAUUAUGUGCAAAUGAGGGUGCCAGUCAUUUCUCAGCACUGACUUUGUGAAAGGGCAGUGCUACUGGGCUGCUCAAUAAUUUAUGUCCUUAAUAUCAGAGGACAGCAUCUGUGGAACUUCCUAUUGCUGCCACCCAGGAUAAGAAGCAACCUUCCAGGACAGAUGGGCUGAUUGCAGUGAGCCCUGAGAGCAUGCAUAGAGCGCACCAAGAGGCAUUCGCAUUAGCGGUUUUGAUGGAGAUCUGAUUUCUUAAUUAGCACAACCUUCUGUAAAGAUCCCAGUACAAAAACGUGGCUAAAAUCAACCAGCAGAGGCUGCACCCUAAAAAUCAAGCAGCAGAUGCAGCUGGGCAGAUUUCUGAGCAUCUAAAAGCAGGAAAAGAAAUAGCGCAAGAUCUGCUUGGUACUGCAGAGGGGAGGAUUUCACUGCUGCCGAGCGAAGCGUGCAGCUAUCCGCAUGCCAGGAAAGCCGAGACGGCCUGGUGGCUGAAGCAGGUAAUCUGGCCAAAGGAAAGCAUGGGGGGGUGCAGGGGAGCACCACCAGCUUGCAGAAAUUAGAACUGAUUUACCAUCCUAUCGAUUUCUGGGUACUGGUCAGGGAAGGGAGAUUUUUAACCAAAUGCUUAGAAACAUAAUGGUAGCUUCCAACUAGGCUGGUGUUCAUGCAUUGCACUGCUCUUCUGCCAUCUCCAGCAGGCAAACGGCUCCCGUGCUCACAACCAUACCUGGUAAGACAUGUAAGACAAAGUGCUGGGCGCAGCAGGUAUGAUGCCCAUACUGGACCAGGUCUCACGCAUUUUCCUUGGCAGCAGUCUGGUCGCCUGCCCAAGACUCCACCCGAGCUCCUUCUGUUCCGGGGGGGUAAAAAACUCCUGAGGCUUUGGUGAUGGAGCCGUAAGAGCAAGUCCAGCCAUGUCGGGCCACAUCCUGCCCUGCUGAAAUCCAUGAGGGAGCCACUAUAUUGACACAAUCAGCUGUUCCUUAGAAAAAUAUUAAACUUGGGCAAGCAGCUUAGUAAAUGCCUGAACUGCUAGAAACUGGUAAAGUGCCAAAAGGAAGGUUUCUUUUUACUCUUUCCCUAAAUAUUUACUCCCAGCAGGGACAGCGGCAGCAGCCACGUGUGGAGGGGUCUCUGCACUGCCCUGGGCAGCUUGGUAACUGCUAGCAGAGCAUUGCGUAUCACUGAAAAUCCUGCAAGGGAUGUCUUUGUCCCAGGAGGUGUUCUGAAACCCAUCUCCUAAUGCAAGUCAAAGGAGAAUGCCAGCACAUUAGCUCCCCUUCUUGCUUCUGUAUCUUCUAUGUUAACAAUGGAAGUUUUGGAAGCCACCAGCUGGGAUAUUAGUCAAAAACCCCAAGCCACCUCACCCAAGAGAAUAACCCACACCUGAACUGAAAUGAAUGUGCCUUGCCAUCUGUGCCUCUUUGGGCUGGGGUCCGAAAGCUCAAGCCUUUCCCACGCAGAAAGUUUCUGGUCCUGGAAAGCCCUGACCCCCCACUCCAGGGGCCCCCUCGGCCACCACCCCCACACACAUGUUCAUUAAGCAACAGAGGGUUAAUGUGCUUCAUUUACUGAAGCUGUCGAUAUUGUGUGAGCAUUAUUUUAAUGGCUGCUUCAUUUAUUGCAGUGCCCAUUGGGCAAUGAGCAAACCCUUCCCCACUGUGUGUGAGCUUCCAGCACGGGAUCUCACUUUAGCUGAGAAAAGUAUAACCCUGAGCAUGACCUCCCACAUCCAGGGCUGCUGCUUGGGUCAGGGUCCCUGUAAGCAUCUUUCCCCCAGCCAUCGCUGCGGCUAUGGGCAGCGUACCCGCUGUGCCCAGCUGCAUGGACAGCUGGUCCAGGCGUCAUUUUAAAUGUGUGCAAAGCCCUAGCGCAGCCCAGGGCAGAAAGGCUGGCACUUGCAAACAUCUCUGAAGCUGUGCUUACCUUAUCAGCUUAAUUGUAGGUAUUUUUCUGUCCCCAUUCCCACUGCCCUGGGGAAUUGCCCUGUGCAGCUCUUUCCCAACAAAUGUCACUGCUUGACACCAGAGCUUUGGGUGAUGCCCGUAACUGAAGUGCUGCCAUUUCAGAGCCACAGCCCUGGAUGCUCCAGCAUAUUGCCCUCCUGGGGAAAAGGCGAUGGAUGCUGUAGGAGACACACGUGUUGGAGCCACCAAUGCCUGCCAUCGUUCCUUCUCCCAGUGCUGGAGCCUUCCACCUUCAGCAUCACCGCUAUGCCUGACCCACAACUCCUCAAAUCCAGGCAGGGUCUUGCUGUGGGACCAAGCUCCCGUUGCUCCAUCCAUUCCCAAGCUCCCUGAAGUGAGCCUGAAACUCCUCUCAUCCCAAGGCUGCACCACUUGUUGCUUUCUCAAUGCAUUUCAGGUCCCUGAUGAUUUAAAAUUGUGUUUAUUUUAUUUAUUUCAGCUUCAAAUGGACUUGAGGAGGACACCAAGCUAGACAAGAGUCCUCAGUCCAGGACACACUUGCCGAGGUAGAGACAGGCAACUAUUCAGCUCCUGCAAUGAGGCCAGCGAGGCGGUUUGUCCCCACAUCCACCCAGGCAAUGCAAAGUGGGAAUGAAACAAUUCCCUAGGAGUAACCCAAAACCAAACGAAAAGUGGGUCUGCAUGGAAAGCCCCCUGGGUGAAGCAAAAUAAGGAGCCAUCGCCUGUGUGUAUCAACACAUAAAAUACACUGGCACGUAGCCCACCUUUAACAGGGGAUCCCUACAUUUUUAACAUCUCAAGUUGCAGCCAGACAUUCAAAUGCUGGGACAUUUUCUUGGGAAAUGUCUGGAGCUGGGCCACAGCACAACGCAGUGCUGGGAGGGCUACGGAGCUUAAUCAACCUGCUCAGCAUUCUUGCUUGCUUCGAUCCACAUGCCAUACAGGCCUACAAUGCUUUUAUUGUACAGAAAACAAAGCUCUUGUGCUUGAAUGUAGCAGCUACAGUAUCACGGUCUUGCCUUAACUGGAGGCUCCUCAAGUGAUUUAAGUCAUCCCCGUCUCUGGUGAUAAAGAGUUGCCAGGGUUAAGAGAGAUCUUCCUCUUUUUUUAAUCUUUUUCUAUCCUUCCGCUUAAUUUGCAGCCAGAAAAAAGGAGGUGUUUACACGCAGGGCCUAGUUAUUAAUAUCUUUUGGGGAUAGCAGCCCUGGUUGUAUUUCCAGCAUGAAACCAAUCGCAAUUUUUCAAGGUUUUUGGUGGUGUGCUUGGCUGCUGAUCCUGUCUCCGACCCCGAUCCUGUCUCGGACAGAGAUUGUCCCUCCCUGCUUGCCCAGCUUCUCCAGGGCGCCGGGGCUGCCUUGGAUGGUGGAUUUUAGAGUCCCCAGUUGAUCUGGCCCCACACAGUGCAGCCCCGCGCAUCAGCGGUGGAUUUCCAGUCUCCAGGAGGAGGUUUGCUGACUUACCUUGCUGAUGAAAAACACCUCGGCCGCUGCUGCAUCUCAUCGGUGCAGGGCUUGGGACAUGCAGCCCUCUUUUACGUGGGGUCAUUAAUUCACUCCCACCAGUGAAGCACUUUGAAGAUGAGAUGUGCUACGUGAGUGCUAAGAAUUAUGGGGUUUAUGUCUCUUGGUUAGAGGUGCAGGAGGUAAAGGCAGAGCUGGGGGCCCUCACACACUGCCUGCUGCCCUGUCUCCGGCAGCAUGGACAGCCCUUUCCUAAAGGUUUGGAAAGGGUUUGCAUGCAUGCUCUUUCUGAAACCCCCAAAUCAGGCUGCCAGCCAGGGUUUCAGCCCUGCUCAGAGGAAGUGCAGGGUGCACAGCAUCUGGCAGGAUCAGGCCCUGCUUAUCUCCUUCCCCCUCCCCAGCUCUGCUUGAGCAAUAACCUACUUUCUUGCUUUGCAGAAAAAACAUCUUGGAUUACAUUGCUGCAAAUGAAAGGUUUCCGUCAUGGUAUCAGAUGAGCUGCAGGUUUCCCAAGCCUGAAAUGCCCUCUUUGAUGUCCAGAGCAUCUUGUGGGUUUCAGCUAUCAGCAAGAUGGAUAAACACUCACCAAGAAGGAAUUUAUCUGCAUCAAGGGCUGCUCCAUCUCAGCCCAGCUCCUGCAUUGCCAAAACUUAAAGGAAACACACUCGAGCUAGUCCCCCCUGACCCUGCAGGUAGCUGGAGAAGGCCUCCAGUGACAAACCCAGCCAGAAGAAGCAUCCAGGGUGUAGGCAAUGGAAAAUGAGAUGUUACUAAGUUUGGCCAAGCUUAGCUGGCUCCUCACAGGUCCCAGCCUGUGAGUCACCGGUACGUGGGCCACCAGCACGGCCUCCCCUCUGGAGGAAGGAGCGGAGGUGGAAAAAUAACAAGAGGAAACCAGUUGUUAGUAGUGCCAGCUCUGGGGAGAGUGGUAGGAGGUGGCAGACCUGGAGAGAAAGGUCAGGGCUGCAUUGCCGGCUGCUGCCUGAUUUUUCCUCCUGACUUCAUGGUGGAAAGCUGCUUAUAGGAACAUGCUCAUGAAGGAUGGGCAGAAGGUCUGGGCUGAUCUGAGGGAUGGUCUCCAAGGGGGAGCGAAAGCCUCCGAGGGCAGCCAGGAGCGACGGAGCUUUUGUUCACGGUCUGGGCUCACCCCUCUUCUGGUUGUACCUCUGAUGUCUGCUGGGCUGAGCUUGAUCGCCCCAUUGAAAGCAACUUUUGGCCCAGUGCAAACAUUGCAAAAGAAGAUACGCUUUGCAGAUGUACUUGGAACAAACGCAUCCAUCUCCCCACUGUGGCUAAACACUAGUGCAAACCAGUGUUCCCAGUCCCUGCCCCACCAUAGCACUGAUGCCCAUGUGCAGCUAACCCUGAGACUCUCUUGCUCUUGCGCUGGUCCUCGGUGACAAUGGUGGCAGGGGGAGAUUCAGACAACUAGAUCAUGAGCCAGUGACCCUGUUCCUUGUCCAAAGCCAAUGCAAUGAAACUUUUGCUGGGGAAAAUAAAAGACUGCAGCUUUCCAGCCUCUUCCAGUGCCCCAGCUCUCCUACCUAGGGCUAGCUGGAGUGCACCCAGCAGAGCACACAAGCCUCAGCUACUCUUCCCCUGUCCCUGACAUCAGCCCAGGAGCACUCACAGGGCUGCACCACGCUGCUCCCCAUCCCGUAGGGAUACCCAAAGCUGCGAAUCGGGAAUUCUGGUCCCCUUUGCCUUGCAAGAGUUCCUGCUCUCUUGAACCCUCCGGUCUGAUGAUCGCCACCAGUUGCCACUGGUUUUUCUUACAUCCUACUGCAAACACAGAGAGCCAGCCGUCUCCCUGCUGGCAGACCAGCGCUUUCUGUAAGUGAAACAGUAUUUCUUCAUGUCUGUAAGGAAAUUGUAACAGAUGUCAGGGCAAAAAAGCCACAGCCAGGUAGGAUGUCAGGUCAAGGGGGAAACUGCUGUGUGUCUUGCUGUUAUUCGUUGGAGAUGUCCCUUCUCUCUGGCUGGGACCAGUGCUCCCACUUUGAGUCCAGAACGGGAUCUGUUAUGUUCAGGCUCCCCCUAGUGCCUCCACACGCUGGUGUCCCUGCUUCUCCAGGUGGCUUCUGUGGAGGCGCAGUGGCCGUUUGUCCCUGGGCACUGUCCAUCACCCUCACUCCCCUCUGGCAUCAUUAGCUCGGGCUUACGGCACAGCCAAGCCCUGUUUACCCACAAGCUGGGAACAGCCCUAACACUGCCCAAAAGCCACCGCCUCCCGCCAGGGACCUCUCGGGCCCAUCAGCCGCCUCGGCCCUGCCUCCACUCGCUGAGGGAAAGGAAGGUGACAAAGAUGGCCAUACCCAACAAGAUGCAACCCUGCACACUGCAGCUCCACUUUGAUGGUGUCUGCGGACCGUGGGGCAGGAAGGGUGAUGGGUGGCAAGAGCCUGAGCUGCCCUGGGAGCAGCCCAGGCUGGGGGUGGGGGUGGGCACCUUGCCUGUGAGCCAGCUGGGACAGCCAAAAGCAUCACUGCGCUCUCCCCCACUGCUUGAUACCUCUCCACGAAGGAGCAGCUUUUAGGGACACCCCAUAGUCCAUGUCAAGCAAAGUCAGCUGCGCUCCUUCUAAUCAACACCCAAAACUGCUGUCACGGAUUUCGUCCAGCCUGCAGGACACUGCGUAGUAGAGGCUGCCUGCAUGCCGGGGCACUGGAGAGCUACGCUGUUGUGCUGUGUCCAGCACCCUCCAUGAACACGGCCUUUCCUCAUCUUCUUCCUGUGGAAACAGGGAGGAAAUUUCCCAAUAUCUUGGGAAACGACCAGCCUCAACCUCAGUUCCAAACCCUUCUUGUAAAACUCAGCCUGACUCAGCCCUGGCAUCAGCACUGCACUGGACAACCAACAGCCCUGCAAGCACCUCUGUUUCAGAAAGCACCGUGCAGAGGUGAAGGCAGCCUUAUUUCCUUGCUUAACGAGGAGGUGGUUUGGUAUAACCAUGAAUCAAGGCAGUUGCUGUAGCUGUAUAGGACAGCACACUUGGCUGGGUGUCCUGGCAGGGCUGGUGCUACGCUGGGUGAGCGGAGAUACAGAGCAGGAGGAGUGUGGGGUCCCACAGCUGUUUCCCAGUACCAGGGAGGUGGCAGCAGGCCACUUGUGCUCCCAGCUGCCAAAAAAGCCGUCCCAAGCAGCCUCCUGACACUGCCCCCUCAAGAAAUGCAUUGGAGCAUCAGUCCCCAGCCACUGCUGGUCUGUGAGCAAGCAGUGCCCAGGGGAGGCACCCCAGGCACCCCAUGCUUUGCUCACCUUUCAGCAUGGGCUGUGAUAGCUGCCUGAGCCCUGAUACAUGUUGGGAGAAGCUUCUCACAUGUAACAUCUUCCUUAAAUGUACAUACCAGAAUAUAUAAUACAGAACACCUCCAAAAUAUUGCACCAGAUGUCAACAAAACCCUGCCCAUGUCCUUUUGUGGGGUGGAUCGCAGUGGUUCCCUAGAAAUUAGUGAUGUUUUCCUGGAUUUAUACCCAUGGAGCACUUGGCCUGGGCACUGAGCUUCUCCAGGUCACUGACAUUACUGAAUGGUGGCAGCUACGGUAAUUCAUUAUCCCAAGUCAAAAUGUCAGCUCACAGGGAGGGAGGAGGCAAGAUUAGUCGAGUCUGCUGAAAUGUGGCGUCACCAUGAAAGCGGUGACAAACCCAACAGAGAUCAAUCGGCAUAAACGUGUGUGAGGCAAGGACAUUGACUGAGAUAAGUUGUCAAAGGUACUGUGAGAUUUUUAUUUUAACCUAUGAUUUUUUCAUAAUUGUUUUGCAGCUGGAGUAAUUACCAUCCUAUUUAAUGAACACAGCUCCUUUAAUAGAGGACACUUGGGCUAACAUGCACUAAUUAAGGCUGUAAUCACUAAAAGUAUGAUUCAAGGUUUUGAACUGGCCAAUUGUUCUCCGUAAUACCAUAAUUACAGAUACUGCAGCUCAUCAGAGCACAGGAGAAAUUCAAGGGGUCUUGAUCAUCCAGUAGUGUACAUGGGUCUUGAUCCUGUGUCGGAACAUCCUUUUUACCCGAUAUUCUGCAUUGGUUUUCAGUGGUUUAUAAACUACUCUGAAUAUAUUACACUCAGCCCCAUGAACUGAAUGCACUUCCACAGCUUUAUUAUAAUAAAUUGGCUUACAGAUCUUGCAUACCACCUGGGCAUUAAGCACAGCUUUUCUAAUCCCCACCAGUCUGAAUGCUUCUCUCAUGUGGACCCAGCAGCAGCUGUGAAAGACUUCUAGGGAGCUUCGACGGCAGUAAUUGCAGUGAGAUACUGAAAGAACUUGAAAAAGAUAACUGAAACCGUAUAUAUAAAUCCUUGUUUCUUCAUAUGAAUGAAGGCUCAGAAAUGAGUGAAAAAGAACAAGAGUUUUCAUCAUCUAAUGGCCAAGAUAAGGGAACCUAAAAGUCGAUUUCUUUCUGCCUUCUGCAGUGCAGGGAGGCAAACAUACCUCUGGGGGUCAGUUUUAUCUUCCGCUGAGCUCUGCUCUUUUGGUUAUCAGGGAAGUCAGGCUUUCUUUUUGCUGUUGGCUGUGAUUAGAUGGCCACAGUGAUGGCCAAAUAUUUUAAGACUACAGAUCACUACAGUGGAAAGAACUUUUAAAAAACAGUAUUUAAAAAGUCAGAAGUUUGCAUAUCAAGAAGGAUUUUUUGGAGAACCUCAUAUUCCAGCUGCAAAAUGCCAGUAAAAAGAGUAUUGCUAUUUUCAUUGAUUUUUACACUGAUAAAAACAGCUGCCCAGAAAGAAAAAAAGAAAAAAAAAAAAGCCAAAUACAUUUUGCAACUUAGGUCUUGCUGGAAAUAAGAAAAAUACUGAAAUUAAAUUGCAUUAACUUUCUUUAUCCUAUUUUCAUUUCAGAUUCAUCAGUGUUAUUUGUCUAUCAAGGAUAAGCUAUUUUUCGUGUUGCAUUUUUGUAAUAUGAAGAGCUUGUUCACAGGUAUCUGAACUUAAGGCAGAGUAGCUUAUUGCUCUGCAAGCAAUGUCACUGAAAAAACGUGUCUGGUUCUCUCUCCCAUGUACUGGUCCAGGGGCUUUGGUCUCUGGGCUAUUUUUUCCUGUCUGGGUUAUUUUAGGCAAAUCACUUGUGUCUCUCAUCUUAAAAUAAAGGCAAUGCUAUACGAA